rnacentral:lncRNA from 1 species
GGAAGUUUAGUGGUCACACAAGAGUCUCAUCUCAAAGUUCUAAGAUAACAAAUCAAGUAACCCAAUGGCUUCUUCAAGCAAACAAGAGAUGAACACAAGAUAGGAAGAAUAGAGAAUUGGUUUUGAAAUCCGUAUUAACCACUCCAAGGCUGGAUUUCUCCUCAGCUAUCAAGAUUUCUCUUCAACCACCUAGCCAAAUAAAUUAAACUUUUGUUUCUUUCUCUUUUUUUUGAUAGAGAUCCUUUUUUUUCUUUUUUUUUAUUGAAGAAUGGCGAUAGCUAAGGUUGAGUGGCUCUGAUACCACUUGAUACGCCCUAAAAUUAGGGAAUGAUCACUCAAUCGGACUUAAGGGAUAUGAACUCGCCAAAAUGGAGAACUGAUGGAUUGAACGGUGACACAAGAGGGGCGGAAUGUAUCUUGAUACUACCAAACUUCAGUUUUUGAUUGAUAUGAUGCACAAGUCCAACAAAAGAAGGGUUUCUAUAUGUUGCUUGAUAUGACGUACAACUCCAAUGAAAUAGAGAAGUUUACUUGGAGCUAACCAUACCAAGAAACAAUAAGUGUUCUACAAAGAACAAAGGAGAUAAAC